CAUCCAAGAAAUAGAUAAACUUUCCAUCGGGAGAUAGAGCAUAUUAGAGUCAUUUAGCUUCCUUAGAAUUUGGCAGAUAGCAUCCUAAAUUGGAAUAAAAAGCACUGGUCUUGGAUAAAGAGGGUGUGAUUUGAACCAUAAAAAAGAGUGAAAUCUCUCCAUUUGGAACAACAUGGAUGCACCUGGAGGAUAUUAUGCUUAGAAAAAUAAGUCAGACAGAGAAAGAUAAUUACUGUAUGUUUUCACUUAUAUGUAGUAUCUAAAAAUUAACAAAAAUGAACACACAAAACAAAAACAGACUCAUAGAUACAGAGAACUAGCUACGAGUUACCAGAGGAAAGAGGGAUAAAACAGGUGAAGGGGAAUAAGAGGUACAAACUAUUAGAUAUAAAAUAAAUGUUACAGGUAUGUAAUGUACAGAAUAGGAAAUAUAGUCAAUAUUUUAUAAUACCUUUGGAGUAUAAUCUAUAAAAAUAGCAAAUUACUAUGUUGUACACUUGAAACUAAUAUAAAAAUGUGUAUUUCAAAAUUAAAAAAAAGCACUGGCCUCUUUGCUGUUAAAUAGGUGUAAAAUGAAAAUGGAGACAUGAGUAGAAAUUUUAAUUGGGUGAUUUGUUUUUCUUCAACAUGAAACUAGAGUUUCUCCUAAGCUAUUAAUCCUAGGGAUAUGGCGUAACUAGCAUUUCAGAUUAUUUAAUAAAAUAUGCGGUUAUAGAAUCUGAAGAAGAGAAUUUUAUUAGCUAUAAUUGACAAAAUAAAUAAGUGUAACACAUUAAUUAAAUUCAUUAUUCUUGCCCUUCUUCUUUUUUUCCCUUCCUUAAACCUUUUACAAGGGCUGUUUGUAGGACUACUUUCUAUGUCUUUAACAAUCUUUGUGUCAGAAACCUCUGUCUCAAAUUUAAACACCUAUCUAGUUUAAGAAAAAAAUCAUUGUUUACUUUCUGCCUUCUGACAAUUUGCAUACUGUUUCGUUGUAUUUUAUGGACUGAAUAUGUUCUUUGAUAAAUUCAAAUUGGUCAUGCAUUUCAGCAGCUGAAACAUUUAGUGUUUUAAAACCAAAUCAGCAUUUACUUCCUCUGAAGGCCUCAUAUCUAGAUGAGCAGAAUUUUAAACUUGUGGUAUAUCAUCUCAAUGUUGCCAUUCAUUGUUAGCAAAAUAUCGGACCAUUGACAACACAUACUUGUUCAUUACAUAGUGCACAAGUGUUUAACUUUGGAAAUAAAAAUUUUGAACUACUCUUGUGUUUCUGACUUUAUCCUAGUCAUCCUUCAAUGCCACUUUUAGGUGGCUGUGUUAUUUCUUAGUGGCAUGUUUUAUUUAUGAGAUUAGAGAUGUUAUGCUCUAGUAACACACAUUAAAUAAAGGAAAUAGGGAGUUCCCUUUGUGGCUCAGUAGGUUAAGAACCUGGCUAGGGAGUUCCCGUCGUGGCGCAGAGGUUAACGAAUCCGACUAGGAACCAUGAGGUUGCGGGUUCGGUCCCUGCCCUUGCUCAGUGGGUUAAGGAUCCAGUGUUGCCGUGAGCUGUGGUGUAGGUUGCAGACGCAGCUCAGAUCCAGCGUUGCUGUGGCUCUGGCGUAGGCUGGCGGCUACAGUUCUGAUUAGACCUCUAGCCGGGGAACCUCCAUAUGCCGCGGGAGCGGCCCAAAGAAAUAGCAA
rnacentral:lncRNA from 1 species